rnacentral:snoRNA from 1 species
UUUCCCAUUUGACUACCACAUUUUCUCCUACUGAUAGAUUUUAGUGGCUAUGUUUAUGGGAUAAAGUGAAACUGCCGGGAUCUGAAGGGGGAGGAUUUCUCUGUGUCCUCCUCCUAUAUGAAACGGCUGGACAGAAAAAG